UUAAACCCAAAGAAUUUGGCGGUACCUUAUUCUAUUUAGAGGAACCUGUCCCGUGAUUGAUAGUUCACGAUUAAUUUUACUUGAUCUAUUUGUUUGUAUAUCUCCGUUAUCAGAAAAUCUUUUUAGAGUUUUAAUUUUCAAGAUUUAUUAUUAUAAAAUAUUUCAGGUCAAGGUGCAGCUUAUGGUUAAGAGGAGGUGGGUUACAAUAAAUUUUUGUUUAAUACGGAUUAUUUUUUGAAAAAUUUAUAUUAAGGUGGAUUUAAUGGUAAAUUAAUUAAUUUAAUUUAAUUGAUAUUAGCUCUGAGGUGUGUACACAUC
rnacentral:rRNA from 1 species